GGGGUUGUGGCUCAUCGGUAGAGCGCCCGCCUAGCAUGUGCGAGGCCCUGGGUUCAAUCCUCAGCACCA
rnacentral:tRNA from 1 species